rnacentral:lncRNA from 1 species
UUGUUUUGCUCUGCUGACAAAUGCAGGAAAACUCAGUACUUAACAGCAGCGCAUGGGAAGACAACCCAGAGUCGCUUUGACAAGAGGACUUGCCUUUA